rnacentral:lncRNA from 1 species
AUGCACGUUGAACUAGCUCAUCAUCCGGACCCCGAAUUUACCAAGUACCUGCUGACAGGCCUCGAAAACGGCUUUAAACCCGGCGCAGAAUGCCCGCUCUCACAGAACACUAUCUGUAGUAAUCUUCAGUCCGCCCUAACAGAACCCGAAGUCGUCGACAAUCUGAUUAAAAAAGAAGUCGAAUCUGGUUUCAUGAUCGGCCCUUUCGACACUCCCCCAUUCAACACGUUUCGUAUCAGCCCCAUCGGAGUGGCUACAAGAAAAUUUUCGGGUAAAAAACGUCUCAUAAUCGACUUAUCAGCCCCGCAUAAUUCCCCGUUUCCAAGCAUUAACAGCUUAAUUCCUCUCGAUGAAUUUUCGCUUAAAUACCAAGACAUAGAUCAAGCAAUCGACAUGGUUAAAAUCGCAGGUCGGGGUGCUUGGCUCGCAAAAAUCGACAUUACUUCAGCCUUCAAAAUUAUGCCUAUCCAUCCAGAUUCAUGGCAUCUUUUUGGAGUGCGCUGGCGUGGGAAAUAUUACUUCGCCGUACGCCUAACCUUCGGAUGCAAAAGCAGCCCAAAAAUUUUCGACAUGCUAUCAGAAGCAGUUUGCUGGAUCUUGUCCAAUAAUUACGCCAUUCCCCACCUCAUUCACCUGCUAGACGAUUUUUUAAUAAUUUCGCCCCCCGAAGCCAUACCAGCCGCACGUUUCCUUACGGCUCAAAAAGUCUUUUCCGAACUCGGAAUUCCUAUUGCUCAAGAGAAAACGAUGGGUCCAGCCAAAUCCAUCGAGUUCCUCUGGAUUAAAUUGGAUUCAGACAAAUUCCAAGCAUCCCUGCCCAAAGAGAAAAUCGACCGAAUCAUCUUAGUCUCAUCUACCCUCAUCGACAACCCAAAUUGUUCUAAACGUGAACUACUAUCCCUGCUGGGCCACCUAAAUUUCGCUAUGCGCAUUAUUCCGCAAGGCCGCCCAUUCAUUUCGCACCUCCUCUCGCUCGCAUCCUCCGUCCCUGCACUAGAGCAUUCUGGUGCAUUGCUAUAA